AUUGAACGCUGGCGGCAUGCCUUACACAUGCAAGUCGAACGGCAGCGCGGGGCAACCUGGCGGCGAGUGGCGAACGGGUGAGUAAUAUAUCGGAACGUACCCUGGAGUGGGGGAUAACGUAGCGAAAGUUACGCUAAUACCGCAUACGAUCUAAGGAUGAAAGUGGGGGAUCGCAAGACCUCAUGCUCCUGGAGCGGCCGAUAUCUGAUUAGCUAGUUGGUAGGGUAAAAGCCUACCAAGGCAUCGAUCAGUAGCUGGUCUGAGAGGACGACCAGCCACACUGGAACUGAGACACGGUCCAGACUCCUACGGGAGGCAGCAGUGGGGAAUUUUGGACAAUGGGCGCAAGCCUGAUCCAGCAAUGCCGCGUGAGUGAAGAAGGCCUUCGGGUUGUAAAGCUCUUUUGUCAGGGAAGAAACGGGCCUUUCUAAUACAGGGGUCUAAUGACGGUACUUGAAGAAUAAGCACCGGCUAACUACGUGCCAGCAGCCGCAGUAAAAC
rnacentral:rRNA from 1 species